CGUUACAGGCCAUGUAGACAAAAACCUACCCUGAAUGAAAUACGCUGCUUUGGAACGAGGGAGUACCACCACAUGUUACCUAUAGUCAUUAUUACAUUUUAAAACGUCGUUAAAAUGUGUUUUUUAAAUACAUUUUUACGCUGGGAAUUGGGAGAAAAGAGUUUUACAAAUAAAGAUACGAAAUAGGUUCCCGUGUGUUUUAUCAUGCUACAGCUCGCAGCUAUAAAAAAAAAGGAAAUGAAAAUUCUCCUACACAGAGGAGAUUGCAGCCAUCCCAUUCAAGUAUCUUGAGAACCAAGAAGAAAAAAAAAAAGAAGGAUUUCAAUUGCAAUCACACCUCACAUUUAUACAGCGUAAUUCAAAACAUUUCAACAUUAGAAAUUGUAUAUCAAUAAAAGUUAAACAAAAAAACUUAA